AGCAGUUGGAAGCAGACUAACAGCAUCUCUGAAAGCCACAAGAACCUCUUGAAUGACAAUAGCCAUUCCACCACCCUGCCCUGGAAUCAUCACUGGUGCCAGUCCUGAAACCCAGCAUUUGUGGCAGAACCAUACAGUGGUUAGUGCUAAGAAGAAAUGAUUGACCCAAGGUUAUCCUGCUGACUUCUGUGCCUAAGGAUGGACUAGAACCUGGGCUUCUCUGCUCUUAGUUCAACACCUUAACUGAUUCUCCUUGUACAGUAUACAUAUCAGCACUUUGAAUGCAUUACACGUACAAGGAAUUAUUCAUGGUUCAUAUGUGAU